rnacentral:rRNA from 1 species
CCUACGGGUGGCAGCAGUGAGGAAUAUUGGUCAAUGGGCGAGAGCCUGAACCAGCCAAGUCGCGUGAGGGAGUACUGCCCUAUGGGUUGUAAACCUCUUUUGUCGGGGAGCAAAAGCCGGACGUGUCCGGCUGUGAGCGUACCCGAAGAAAAAGCAUCGGCUAACUCCGUGCCAGCAGCCGCGGUAAUACGGAGGAUGCGAGCGUUAUCCGGAUUUAUUGGGGUUAAAGGGUGCGCAGGCGGAUUUUUAAGUAAGCGGUCAAAUAGUGGGGCUCAACCCCAUCCAGCCGUUGAAACUGGGGAUCUAGAGUGUGCGAGAGGUAUGCGGAAUGCGGGGUGUAGCGGUGAAAUGCAUAGAUAUCACGCAGAACCCCGAUUGCGAAGGCAGCAUACCGGUGCACAACUGACGCUCAGGCACGAAAGCGUGGGUAUCGAACAGGAUUAGAUACCCGGGUAGUC